CACUAUGAACAUUACUACAAUUAUACAUGGGAUCCAUUUUCGAAAUACUUCUAAGUACUAGUACUCAAUCAGAUGAAUGAGAAGCUGUACAAUUACUCAAUAAAAUGUAGAUUAGACUGGAACCAUAUUCUGAUAUGUUUGCAAAGCUGUGCCCUCACUCAAACAGAUGCAUAUGAGACAAGCUUGGGAUCUCUAGCAGAUGUAUGAGUAAGCUCCACCCUAAGCCAUACAGACACAUAUGAUGUAUCCCUUCUUAAUCACAUGUAUGAGAAGGUGUAUUCUUACUCAAGAGCUUAAUAGCGAACCAAUGGGUACAUUCUUAUAGCAAAGCAUUAAGUCCAAUUUUAUAGCAGAACACUAGGUAC
rnacentral:lncRNA from 1 species